AUAAACAUUAGUGUCAAAAUAACAAUAAAACCUAACUAUGUCGGUGAAUAUAAAGAAACACAUACUAAUAUCUGAUCAUUAAAAUACAAUACGUGUAAAAUAUGUGGUGGAUUAUAUAAUAAUGACAAAAGAUCAAAAACAGAGCAAAAAACAGAGUUGCUCUGUUUUCACAUGCAUGUAUCUCUUUAUAUAUAUGAUAACAUUUUCUUAUGUGGCUAACCUUAGUUUUCAUUUCUCACCCUUAAUUCUUUAGGUGAUAUUAAUGGCAAUAUCUUUAUUCCCCUUCAAACUGAUAUUGCUGUUUCUCACCAUUUCAGAUUUGUAUAUGCAAAGUUAUGGAUUGGAUUUUGGAAUAAACUAUGGACAAAUAGCAAAUAAUCUACCAUCUCAUUCAAGAGUAGCAGUUCUAAUAAAAUCAUUGAAUGUUAGCAGAAUAAAACUCUAUGAUGCUGAUCCAAAUGUUCUGACAACAUUUUCAAAUUCAAAUGUUGAAUUCAUGAUAGGAGUGAAUGAUCUUCAAAGUAUGAGAGACCCUAUUAAAGCACAAUCAUGGAUUCAACAAAAUGUUCAACCAUAUAUUUCACAAACAAAAAUAACUUCAAUUAAUGUAGGAAAUGAAGUAUUAGGUAACAAUGAUAUUACUAGUUAUAAUAAUCUUCUACCAGCAAUGCAAUCAGUUUAUAAUGCACUUGUUAAGCUUGGAUUAUCUCAACAAGUUACUGUCACAACUUCACAUUCUUUUAUCAUUAUGUCAAAUUCAUUUCCUCCUUCAUCCGGUAGAUUUCAACAAGAAUUAGUACAAUAUAUUCAACCGCUUCUUAGCUUUCAAGCGCAAAUUAAAUCUCCUUUUUUGAUCAAUGCUUAUCCUUUUUUUGCAUACAAAGGUGAUCCACAACAUGUUUCAUUAAACUAUGUCUUGUUUCAACCAAAUUCUGGUUCUAUUGAUCCUGCUACAAAUUUACAUUAUGAUAACAUGUUAUAUGCUCAAAUUGAUGCUGUUUACGCGGCUAUAAAGGCGUUAGGACAUACCGAUAUUGAGGUUAAGAUUUCCGAGACAGGUUGGCCUUCUAAAGGUGAUCCUGAUGAGGUUGGAGCUUCAAUGCAAAAUGCAGAAAUUUAUCAUAGUAAUUUGUUGAAGAGGAUUGCCAUGAAACAAGGAACUCCUGCAAAACCUUCUGUUCCCAUUGAUAUUUAUGUUUUUGCACUUUUUAAUGAAGAUUUGAAGACUGGUGCUGCUUCUGAGAGAAACUAUGGUCUUUAUUAUCCUGAUGGUACUCCAGUUUAUAACAUUGGAUUGCAAAAUCAAGGUCAAGGUCAAGGAGGUUAUUUUCCAGAAAUGGUUAUUGAAUCCAAAUCCAAUAUUUUGUCCAUCAAUUUUGUCAUCUACAUACUUACAUUAUUUUGGGUUUGGGAGCUUUCAAUAUUGUGAUGAGGAAAAAAUUAAAAAUUUCAAAUGGAUUAUUCUUUGCAGGAGGGACUUGUAGAAGGGAUUAAUGUGUGCAUGUUGCUGGAUCUUUUUGUAGGGAGAUAGCUUUUCAUUUCAAAAGCAAGUCCUGGACUUUUUGUACACAGCCAUUGGAGCAACUUUUCGAUUCUUAGUUCUUGUUACUUAAAUUAUUAUCAUUAUUGAUUAUUGAUUUCACAAUUUAGCAAUAAUUAUAGGUAGAUCCCAGAAAUUAGAUGUGUAAUAUGGAGUGCAAUAUUUUUUUUUAAUAGAAAGUUGAUAAGUAGAAAUAGAUUUUCCUUUCAAUUUAGAUAGAAAGAUAUAUAAAGGAAGGACAAUGUUGUAUAUGUAGAAGUAAAUGUUGGGUUUGAGUUUUUUUUUUUACUUGUGGUUAAUUUUAUUUAUUUUUUUGUCUACUUGUUUUU